rnacentral:tRNA from 1 species
GCGGGAGUAGCUCAGUGGUAGAGCAUCGCCUUGCCAUGGCGAGGGCCGAGGGUUCAAAUCCCUUCUCCCGCU